UUAUAUAAUCAGACCUGCACUUUAGGAAAAUCGUUUUGUUUUUCUUUCAGAUGAGUGGAGGAUGGACUAACAUGGGUAGAGAUGAGAAAGGAGGUCAACCAGGUGUCUAUUACAACAGUUGGGACAGGAAGUGAUGGGGACUUGUACCAGGAUAACAGUUACUUGAAGGGAAAGAAAAAGACAUAUGCAAGAAUGAUCGAAAAGGUCCCCUGCCACAUGGAGGCUGAAGGAAAGAACACCCCAGUUUUUACCAGUUGGUUUGUGAAUCUGAAGACACAGAGGCAGCAACUAGCAGCCUGGCACCUGGGGCUGGGGCUGGAUGAGAGAUUGGGUCUGGCCAGGGCCAGAUUCUCUUUCUCUCCUGAUUCUCCCAUCUUCUUGAAAAGGUCAUCACCAACAAAGCUGUGAUUGACAGCCAACCCCAAGUCCACUGGAAGAACCUUGACAAGGAGGCCAGUUUAAAAAGGCAGAGUUCAAGGAAAAUGUCUCAAGCAUUGCAAGUUUAAUGCCAACAUGGCUUAUAAAAGCUAUCAAGUUCAAAUUAAAAUCAAUCCGCAAGUUUACAGGUAACUCAAGUGGUGAGCACAAGGCCAGAUCUCUAGAAAACCUCUUAAUCCAAGGAGAAAUCAUCCUUUGGAAUUCAACAAAGAGGAAUGAAAAUGCUUGUAGUGGUAACUGACAAACUGUCAGUCUUCUUAAGUGUUUGUGAUAUUCCUUAUCUUCCACUAAAAUAAAAUAUUUAAUUUUAAUGAAAAUGUAUUUAGU
rnacentral:lncRNA from 1 species